CUUUAUUGGAGAGUUUGAUCCUGGCUCAGGAUGAACGCUGGCGGCGUGCCUAAUACAUGCAAGUCGAGCGAAUGGAUUGAGAGCUUGCUCUCAAGAAGUUAGCGGCGGACGGGUGAGUAACACGUGGGUAACCUGCCCAUAAGACUGGGAUAACUCCGGGAAACCGGGGCUAAUACCGGAUAAUAUUUUGAACUGCAUGGU
rnacentral:rRNA from 1 species